AUGUAUGAUGGUGGCAAUCCAAUUGCGCCUGACCACCAUCUUGCUUCAGUAAGAGUUGAGCUAGUUGUCAUUGAAGGAUGGUUUAAUGAAAUACGAGAUUCAUGGUCGAAAGAGGAGUUUGAGGAAAGCAUAAUAAAACCACCAAGAACAACGACAUUGACAAGUCUAGUGAAAAAUGGUACAUUUAAUCUGAUUGGUGGGAGUUGUGAUCAUGAAGGUGCCAUUAUUAUGGAUAAUUCACAGCAAAGGGAAGUUAAGCUUGGAGUAAGGAUCACAGGGCCUGCAGAAACUAGAAUUCUUGAAGGAGUAUCAAAUCCUUUCAAAGUGCAGGAAGGCAAGACAAAAAAGCAAGCACCAAACAAAACGGAUAAAAAAGCUUCUCCUCCAGUUCCAACGCGAAAGUUGGUGCAGCCAACCAGCACCCACGCAACACAACCUGUAAAUGAACAUGACUGGUUUUCGCCAACAGGCCAACCACCUAGCAUGCAGAAUCCAUUGCAGGCAGCAGGAAAUUAUCAACUCGAUUUACUUGCUUCUGGCCAAGACCUGUACACUAAUUUUCCUAACUCAAGUCCUCCACUUGCGUUUCUUAACAACAAUUCGUGGAAUAAUAUUCUUCCCCAGUGGAGUUGCGAUCCCCAAGGGCAGAUAUUUGUUGAAGAAUGUCUAAAGGACAUAAGUGUCGAGACACAAAUUCAAGAGACUUGCCUUGACAGAAGUGCAGACUAUCGAUACACAGCCGCUUGGAGUCCGACCUCUAAAAACACCAACCAGAACAAGGUGGUUCUUCCUUCAACGACAACAGCAGCUGGAAGUCCACCAAAGAAUGAGAUUGUGGAGCAUCCUCCAUUGAAGACGCUUGGGUCCCUGGCAAUGAAGACUAGCAGCACCAGCAACAGGACGGACGACACACCAAUGGUCUACUCGAAAGAUAAAGAGCCUGAGUGCAUCUGGGACAGGGAAGACGACUGA
rnacentral:rRNA from 1 species